GAUGGUUCAACAGAAAAUAACAAGUGAUGCGAUAAAGUUCUGUCAUGAAAGAAAUAGUUAUUUCUUUCAUAGUUCUGUCAAGUUACUGGGAUUUUGUUCGCUCAAAAUUAAAGGGGUUUUUCGGUAAUCUGUAAAUUUGACAAAAUGAUGUGCCCAAUGAGACCUUUAAUGCUCAUCUUCGCUGUAGGAUCAGCUAUAGUUUCGUACAUAUGGAAUUGUGGCUUGUUUUCAAAAAGGACACGAGAAUAAAAGGGAUGCAGAUGAACGGACCAGGCCAACAUGUUGAGGAACUUGAAUGACAUGAUUUUUUAUUCACUGGAUAGAUUUAACAGUUAAGAUUCCUUGAGAUCAAAAUAUAAAUCCGUAAGAUUUUGUUUUACCUUCAAGACUUGACUGGAACUAGUUGAAUCAUCAGCAUGCACUCCCUGCGUGACAGCGUACUCAACCCACUGCCUGACAAAAGCUGCAUCUUCUACAUUAUGACCUGCAAGCUUCUUCGCAUAUUUACGACUCAAAGCAAGAGCUGUCCAGCCUGGUAAAUUUUCAGAAUUAAGGUGUGGCAACUGGAACAAAAGUUGAAACUCUUUUCUUAAAAGCAAUACAAUUAUAGAUGAUCUCCACAUGA